CUCAGAUUAAAUUAUUACAGAAGUUGUUAUCAAAGACCAUGUUCCUAAUCUAUGCAUUAUGCUGUCUCAGUGUGAAGUUGUGAUGAAACGUUGUGAUUAGUAAUCUCUGGGAAGUCAGAAUUCUGUGCCUGUUGGUACUUAGUCUCAAGAAAUCCCAAGACGGCUCUGUAGUACAAACAUUGGCUUUUUCAAGCCCACACACACCCUGACUUCCUGUCUGACAGUUCUCAUCUCCUGAAACUGGUGCUGUUAGAUGCUAAAUCUAAUCAGGCUGAAAUAUUUGUCCAUUCCCAAGCACUCUGUGUUCUUGUUUUUCUCAUCCUUAGUACCUGCCUGGAAUAUUUUAUUGUACCAUUGUACUAAUCUACCUCCAUCUCCACUCCUCUUUCCAUCCUCAAAGAGUAUGAGUUCCUAGUAUACAGGGGGUUAAAUCUCAUUCAUUUCUAUAUCCCCAGUGCCUAACGUGCUUGAAUUUAUACAUGCAUUCAUUCUACUUAUAUUUAGAAAACAAUGUACACAGAGGCCCUCUAUAGAAAGUUUGCUGAAUGAUGACAAGUGAUGAAUAAGGUCACCAAAGCCAUAGGGAGAAGAUGGCAUAAGGUACUAGUUCUCAGUCGUAUUUGGGUCUCAGAAUUUUGAAAAUUGGUUGAAAGAUAUUGACCUGCCCCAGCAAAAUGUACAUACCAACCUAUACAGUCCAUUUUUCCUGAUCCCAGCUUAAGAAUCCAUGUGUAGUUGGUAGGAGCCACAACCUUUGGGCAAAGUAAUGUGGCAUAUCUUUGACUCCAUAACCCCACUUUUUGGGAAUCUGUCUUACAGAAAUAAAAGUACCCAGUAUAUCUGUACAAAGAUAUUCAUUAUGUUAAAAGGAAAAAAUAGUCCCCAAAUUUAAAAAUGGGAAAACUGAAUAUUCUGUAUCUUUGCAGCUUGAGAAAAAUCAUGGAAAUGGCUUAUUUAAAAUUAGAACUUGUUUUAAGUGUUCUGCUUCUGUUCUCAAAUCAGAUCUCAGAUGUUCCGAUCUUUGUUUGCUUCAAAAUUGUUGGGACAAAACCUUGUUGUCAGACACAGAUGUAUCCUUAUCAUUUAUUUCUUUGAUGUGUACAGUUAUUGUGGUUCAUUGACUGGCAGCAUAUUCUGCAUCUCAGGCCAUCCUUCCACAAACACUCUUUGUAACAACACACAUGGCCAUUUUUUUAUGACCUUGUGAAAUGAAAUGGCAAUCAUUCUUAUGUAUUUUAAACUAGCACUUUCUGUAAGGAUUUUAUAUGACCUCUCCAUUUUCAUGCUGUGUCUGAACUGGCAUACUUUUGUCAUCUUGCUGCUUCUCUGGUUAACAAGUGCAUUGGUAAUGCUCAAGAGAAAUUUGUGUAAGAAAUUUUGUUUUUAGUGAUCACAAUGGUAAAAAAUUGGAAAAUUCUAAAUGCUCAUUGUGCCAGUUAUUAAUUGAUUUGCCUUUCAGCUCCAAAUCUAACAUUCAUUGCUUGUCUGCAAUAAUGGAGCUGGACUCUAUAAGCAUUUCUUACUUGCUCGCUGGUAAAAUACUAAGUUUCGUCAGUAGAGGGCACUGGAGAAUACCAUAGGAGGAAGGGUCUUCUCUUAGUUCCAGUGUGCUUCUGUUCUUGGUCCUACUGUGUGGCUGCCAGUGGCAUGUAUAGGGGGUAUCCAAUGGCACUCACUCCUAUUCAGUAUGAGUGGUGUAGACUAUUUCCCAAUGAGUUUCAGUGGCACCCCCACAGGUAGUUUUGCCAAUGAGUUCCACCAGCACCCCAGAGGGCAGCUUCCUGAUAAAAUCUAAUAGCACACUCCCAGAGUGUGGAUUCUCAGCAGAGAUCAGUAACCCACACAGAACCACCUCUGGAGCUUUCCAGCACAUUCCACCAGCUCCCCAAGAGUGGUUCCCUACUUACUAGGCCUGCCCUGCCCUGCAGCAGCUCACUAGACUUCUAUUUGAUCCAGUUGGCCGUGGCUACAACCUCUCACCCCCGAAGGGGAGAGGGUUCUUCCAAAUUUGUUGCUUCCUUGACUGCUCUUCCUCAGCCAUAGAGGUAGUGGCUGCUCCCUAUAUAUGCCAUUCCUGUAUUCUUUAGAGCUCUCUUUACUGCUUUUUUAGUUAAUCUUUUGUUCCUAGUUAAUAAUACUCUAUUACAUUUUUUGUAUUCUGAUUACAAAUACAAUCGGUUCCUGUCUCGUGAUUGGGCUUUGACUGAUAACACCCAUCAUUAGGAGAAAAAUUAAAUAAACUGCAGAGCAUUACACAGAAAUGUAAAAAGAGUAAAUUAGACUUCUGCUUCUGCCCAGGAAAGAUGAACUGCUACACGAAUUGCCUUCUCACCACAACAAAGAGAAAAUUGAACGAAAUAUAUGAAACAGUUGCUUUCAGAUCUGGGACAAAAGGCAGCACAAGACUGAUCUCUGAGAGAAAAGAAACAAAAGAGCCUCCAACACUAAAGUGGAAAGAGAGGUGGCCUGUUCAGGAGAGCAAGGCACGACUGAGGAGCCAAGCAAGCUGGGCUUUGGAUGAAGAUCUGCAGCUGAACGAUGUGGAAGGGAUAUAAGUAUCCCCCAGGAGGGAACCCGGUGGAAACAAGCAAAGAUGAUCCUGGUGAAGUAAUGCAGCUCUGAAGCUAACCUGACCAGCUAUACAGUUCCUGUUAUUGGUCUCGCAUAAAACAAUUGCACAUUA